rnacentral:lncRNA from 1 species
AAAAAAUGAAAAGAAAAAAAAUAAAAAUAAAUCCCAAAUCCCCUCUGUUGCCCCCUUUCUGUCGUUUUUUGCUGCUCUUAUGUGUGUGUAUUUGCAGGUACGGUCGUACGGUGACAUGGCAUGGUGCAGCACGUAAAGGCGUGGCAGGGGAGAACGGCGCUGGGAGCUGCUAGGGUUUCAGCUUUUGCGUUGGGCUGCUUCGGUUUUGUGCUAGGGGUAUUCGGGUUUGAUUUUGGGUUGGUAAUUUAGGUUUGGGCCGUGUCGAUUUGGUUUGUAUGAUUAUGGACUGCUGGACUUUUAAUAAUUUUUGUUUUUAUUGUUAUUAAAAAAUAGGCCGGGCAAAUAUUGGGCCUUACAACUGCCCCUCUUUGGUCGUUGUCAUGUAACGGGAACAAAGCAAAGAUUCUAGAAAUGACCAAUUUUGC